AACGAACGCUGGCGGCGCGUCUUAGCCAUGCAAGUCGAGCGGCAGGCAGCAAUGCCGAGAGCGGCGGACUGGUGAGUAACACGUGGAUAACGUACCCCGAUGUCCGGGACAGCCUGUAGAAAUAGAGGGUAAUACCGGAUAGAUCACUGUUUACGUGAGGUAGACAGCGGGAAAGGAGCUUCGGCUCCGCGACGGGAUCGGUCUGCGGCCCAUCAGCUGGACGGCGGGGUAAAGGCCCGCCGUGGCGAGGACGGGUAUCCGGCCUGAGAGGGCGGACGGACACAUUGGGACUGAGAUACGGCCCAGACUCCUACGGGAGGCAGCAGGUAAGAAUAUUCCGCAAUGGGGGGAACCCUGACGGAGCGACGCCGCGUGAACGAAGAAGGCCGGAAGGUUGUAAAGUUCUUUUCUGUCCGAGGAAUAAGUUUCGGAGGAAAUGCCGGGACGGUGACGGUAGGGCAGGAAUAAGCACCGGCUAAUUACGUG
rnacentral:rRNA from 1 species